GGCGGUAUAGCCAAGUGGUAAGGCAGAGGAUUGCAAAUUCUUUAUCCCCAGUUCAAAUCUGGGUGCCGCCUC
rnacentral:tRNA from 1 species